AAGACUAUAGACCUGCGGAGUACCUGCGGAGGGAUCAUUAAAGAGAAAACUGCCCUUUGGGUAGAUCUCCCACCCUAUGUUUACAGUACCUUUGUUGCUUUGGCAGGCCCGUCUUCUGACCACCGGCUUUUAGCUGGUCCGUGCCUGCCAGAGGACCCCAAACUCUUGAUUUCAGGUUGUCCGAGUCUUAUAUAAUAGUAAAAACUUUCAACAAUGGAUCUCUAGAUCGGAAGAGCACAC
rnacentral:misc_RNA from 1 species